GACUUGGUCCACCCCUGCAGCCCUCCUCUGCCAAAACCUUGUCAUGCACCCCCAGAACAAUAUCUCAAAAGCUAUGAGAUAUAUAUUGAAAGGAUCUUAACAGAAAAUCACAGAAUAAAGCUGUAAGCAGAAGGGAUAAAGAGUGAGAGAAAUAGCAAGGUGAUUUAAUAUCAGUAUCAGUUUUUGUUAUUGUUGUUUGUUUUUUUAUUUUUUGGGAGUUUUUUUGGUUUGUUUUUUUUUUUUCAUAAGAACUACAGCAAAAUCAUGAUUUCCACUCCACCAGAGACAAGGCUCGGAAUAGAGAGAAUUUGGAACAUGAGGGAAAGACUACUGCAUAGUAAGUGCAUUUACAAAUGAAGUUGAAAGAAAGAGGCAACAAAAAGAAAAUAUUGUAGAAACUAUUUUACCUUCAGGAUAAAAGCAGCUCUUCUUUGUCAACAGAGAUACUUUCAGGAACUUUUAAUGAAGCUGCAGUAGUGUGUACGUAC
rnacentral:lncRNA from 1 species